ACUACGGGUGGCAGCAGUGGGGGAUAUUGCACAAUGGGGGGAACCCUGAUGCAGCGACGCCGCGUGGGUGAAGAAGCGCCUCGGCGCGUAAAGCCCUGUCAGCAGGGAAGAAAAUGACGGUACCUGAAGAAGAAGCCCCGGCUAACUACGUGCCAGCAGCCGCGGUAAUACGUAGGGGGCAAGCGUUAUCCGGAUUUACUGGGUGUAAAGGGGGCGCAGACGGCGAUGCAAGCCAGGGGUGAAAGCCCGGGGCCCAACCCCGGGACUGCUCUUGGAACUGCGUGGCUGGAGUGCAGGAGGGGCAGGCGGAAUUCCUGGUGUAGCGGUGAAAUGCGUAGAUAUCAGGAGGAACACCGGUGGCGAAGGCGGCCUGCUGGACUGCAACUGACGUUGAGGCCCGAAAGCGUGGGGAGCAAACAGGAUUAGAUACCCGGGUAGUC
rnacentral:rRNA from 1 species